rnacentral:rRNA from 1 species
GACGAACGCUGGCGGCGUGCCUAAUACAUGCAAGUAGAACGCAGUUGCGAACGGGUGAGUAACGCGUAUGUAACGGCCUCAUAGCGGGGGAUAACUAUUGGAAACGAUAGCUAAUACCGCAUCCUUUGAGAUGGACCUGCGUUGGAUUAGCUAGUUGGUUAGGUAAAGGCCCACCAAGGCGACGAUACAUAGCCGACCUGAGAGGGUUGUCGACCACAAUUGGACGGAGACCAGGCUCCGUCUCCUUCGGGAGGCAGCAGUAGGGAAUCUUCGGCAAUUGACGGAAGUCUGACCGAGCAAAGCCGGGUGAGUUAAGAAGGUUUUCGGGUCGUAAAGCUCUGUUGUUUGAGAAUCGGUAACUAAACAGAAAGGGACGGCUAACUACGUGCCAGCAGCCGCGGUAAUUC